CUCUUGGCCGUCGGGACUUGUACUGUUGGUGACUCCGUCUCCUUAGACGGUGGAGCCUGCGUGACCCAGAAAGGCCACAGCUGUGCUCCUGAUUCUCAGGCCUCGGGACCCAGACCAGGAUUUCCAUCAGCUCCCCUGGCUCGCAGGCCUUCUGACUUCUGACUCACCAUCAGCUCUCCUGGAUCCAGCUUGCCAAUGGCAGAUCGUGGGACUCCUUGCCCUCUAAUCGCAUGAAACAAUGCCCACAAGAGAAAAUAAAAGCAGUCAGAGGAGAAUGGAGAAUUUCCCCUAUUCCCCAGCAUGUGGAGCCAUGGACUCUGCCUUCUCCCAGUCAAGAUGGGGCAGGUCUCACUAUGUUGCCCAUUCUGGUCUUGAACUCUUGGACUCAAGCAAUCCUCCCACCUCGGACUUCCAAAGUGCUGGAAUCACAGGCUUGAGAUACCAUGCCCAGCCAAUUUAUUGUGGUUAAGUAUAUAUAAUAGAAUUUACCAUUUUAAGUGUUUUCAAGUAUACAAUUCAGGGGCACGAAUUACUUUCACAAUGUUGUCCAACCAUCAACACUGUCCACUUCUAGAAUUUUUCAUCAUUCCAAACAGAAACUGCAUACUCCUUAACCAAUAGCUUCCAUUCUCCCCUGCCCCCCAGCCCCUAGUAGCACCAUUCUACUUUCUGUCUCUGAAUUCGACUACGCUGGGUACCUCUAUAAGUGGAAUCAUGCAGUAUUUAUUCCUUUGUGUCUGGCUUCUUUCACAUAGCAUAAUGUUUUAAAGGUUUGUCUAUAUGGUAGCAUGAGUCAGAAUUUCAUUCCUUUUCAUGGCUGAGUAACAUUCCAUUGUAUGCAUAUAGCACAUUGUAUUUAUCCAUUUCUU
rnacentral:lncRNA from 1 species